CCUACGGGAGGCAGCAGUGAGGAAUAUUGGUCAAUGGACGAGAGUCUGAACCAGCCAAGUAGCGUGAAGGAUGACUGCCCUAUGGGUUGUAAACUUCUUUUAUAUGGGAAUAAAAUGUUCCACGUGUGGGAUUUUGUAUGUACCAUAUGAAUAAGGAUCGGCUAACUCCGUGCCAGCAGCCGCGGUAAUACGGAGGAUCCGAGCGUUAUCCGGAUUUAUUGGGUUUAAAGGGAGCGUAGGUGGAUUGUUAAGUCAGUUGUGAAAGUGUGCGGCUCAACCGUGAAAUUGCAGUUGAAACUGGCAGUCUUGAGUACAGUAGAGGUGGGCGGAAUUCGUGGUGUAGCGGUGAAAUGCUUAGAUAUCACGAAGAACUCCGAUUGCGAAGGCAGUUCACUGGACUGCAACUGACACUGAGGCUCGAAAGUGUGGGUAUCAAACAGGAUUAGAUACCCGAGUAGUC
rnacentral:rRNA from 1 species